rnacentral:rRNA from 4 species
GGUUAAGCGACUAAGCGUACACGGUGGAUGCCCUGGCAGUCAGAGGCGAUGAAGGACGUGCUAAUCUGCGAUAAGCGCCGGUAAGGUGAUAUGAACCGUUAUAACCGGCGAUUUCCGAAUGGGGAAACCCAGUGUGAUUCGUCACACUAUCAUUAACUGAAUCCAUAGGUUAAUGAGGCGAACCGGGGGAA